UCAUUUCAAUUCCUAUAAAACAAUUACAUUUCAUCAAAAUAAUCAACAAGGCUUAUGAUUCUCUUAAAAACUUGGCUUGUGCCAAAACUCAUACUCGGUGACACCUUGGCCCAAGCAUCCAACCGAGUCCGCCAAGGAUGUUAAAACGACAUAUACCCAUAAAACAUGUUUUUACUUUUAAAAUAUAGCCAUUCCUUGGCGUUGGCUGAGUUUCAUCCUCACAUGGUGGUUCGGCGUGAAGUGAACUCUAAACUUACCUUAGGAGAUACCUUCCACGCCUCUCGUACUAAGGUAAAUAUAACGGGGCUUACUGUGCCCCUCUAAUAGGCUGGUCCACGGAAACUCG
rnacentral:lncRNA from 1 species